rnacentral:rRNA from 1 species
UACAGAGGUGGCAAGCGUUGUUCGGAAUUACUGGGCGUAAAGGGCGCGUAGGCGGCCCGUCAAGUCCCGUGUGAAAUCCCCCGAGCUUAACUUGGGAACUGCCAUUGAUACUAUCAGUCUUGAAUACUGUGGAGGUUAGCGGAAUAUGUCAUGUAGCGGUGAAAUGCUUAGAUAUGACAUAGAACACCAAAUUGCGAAGGCAGCUUACUACGCAGAUAUUGACGCUCAUGCACGAAAGCGUGGGGAUCAAACAGG